rnacentral:pre_miRNA from 1 species
AAAAAGACAAACCCUGGUUUCCGUGCCCAACGUUUGACCGUCCGUCUUAUUUGAAAAAAUUAUAAAAAAAAUUAAAAAGACAAGUCACACAUAAAAUAUUAAUCAUGUUUUAUCAUCUAACAACAAUAAAAAUACGAAUUAUAAAAAAAUUUCAUAUAAGACGGACAGUCAAAGUUGGACACAGAAACCCAUGGUUUGCCUUUUG